UACGUAGGGUGCGAGCGUUGUCCGGAAUUAUUGGGCGUAAAGAGCUCGUAGGCGGCUUGUCGCGUCGGAUGUGAAAGCCCGGGGCUUAACCCCGGGUCUGCAUUCGAUACGGGCAGGCUAGAGUUCGGUAGGGGAGAUCGGAAUUCCUGGUGUAGCGGUGAAAUGCGCAGAUAUCAGGAGGAACACCGGUGGCGAAGGCGGAUCUCUGGGCCGAUACUGACGCUGAGGAGCGAAAGCGUGGGGAGCAAACAGG
rnacentral:rRNA from 1 species